rnacentral:rRNA from 1 species
AGCAGCCGCGGUAAUUCCAGCUCCAAUAGCGUAUAUUAAAGUUGCUGCAGUUAAAAAGCUCGUAGUUGAAUUUCGGGAUCAGUAAGCCGGUCGUACCUUCGGUAUGUACUGGUGUCACUGAUUCCUCCCUUCUGAUGAACCGUUAUACCAUUUAGUUGGUGUGGCGGGGAAUCAGGACUGUUACUUUGAAAAAAUUAGAGUGUUUAAAGCAAGCUCGCGCUUGAAUACAUUAGCAUGGAAUAAUAAAAUAGGACGUUUGAUCUCCUAUUUUGUUGGUUUCUAGGAUCGACGUAAUGAUUAAUAGGGAUAGUUGGGGGCAUUAGUAUUCAAUUGUCAGAGGUGAAAUUCUUGGAUUUAUUGAAGACUAACUACUGCGAAAGCAUUUGCCAAG